UACGGAGGGUGCAAGCGUUGUUCGGAAUUAUUGGGCGUAAAGGGCGUGUAGGUGGCCUUUCAAGUCUGGUGUGAAAUCCCACGGCUCAACCGUGGAACUGCAUUGGAAACUGGAUGGCUCGAGGGUUGGAGGGGGUCGCGGAAUUCCCGGUGUAGAGGUGAAAUUCGUAGAUAUCGGGAGGAACACCAGUGGCGAAGGCGGCGACCUGGCCAAUCACUGACACUGAAACGCGAAAGCGUGGGGAGCAAACAGG
rnacentral:rRNA from 1 species